rnacentral:rRNA from 1 species
UGACCGCUGGCGGCGUGCCUACUACAUGCAAGUCGAGCGAACAGAUGAGGAGCUUGCUCCUCUGGCGUUAGCGGCGGACGGGUGAGUAACACGUGGAUAACCUACCUAUAAGACUGGGAUAACUUCGGGAAACCGGAGCUAAUACCGGAUAAUAUAUUGAACCGCAUGGUUCAAUAGUGAAAGACGGUUUUGCUGUCACUUAUAGAUGGAUCCGCGCCGCAUUAGCUAGUUGGUAAGGUAACGGCUUACCAAGGCAACGAUGCGUAGCCGACCUGAGAGGGUGAUCGGCCACACUGGAACUGAGACACGGUCCAGACUCCUACGGGAGGCAGCAGUAGGGAAUCUUCCGCAAUGGGCGAAAGCCUGACGGAGCAACGCCGCGUGAGUGAUGAAGGUCUUCGGAUCGUAAAACUCUGUUAUUAGGGAAGAACAAAUGUGUAAGUAACUAUGCACGUCUUGACGGUACCUAAUCAGAAAGCCACGGCUAACUACGUG